GGCUCACGGGCGGCGCGGGGCCGCGGGCACCCACCGCGAAGCGGGGAUUUCCCGAGACGCGACAUAAACUCCAUGCCGCGCUAGAAAGAAAGGAGGAAGAUAUUUACUGCAAAUGAAAAUGACAUAAAAAUGUAACUGGAAGAAAAAAGAGAUCAAUUUGGUAUGUAAACUCAUGAGAUACAGGACACCUCUUAACAGAAAAGUUUCUCCUCGCUCCCUUUACAUCAUAACUCUUUGGGGAAAAAACCCAACCACCAGAGCAAAUUUUCUUUUUACACAGUUGCUGCUUUGGCAAGAUCAGAAAAAAGUGUCAUCCUUUGGCAUCAUGUUCUGCACUACCGCCCUGUUAAGAUACAGCACUACAGAUUAAAUUUCUACAUAAUACAAUUCCUGUUUGUGAAAGAUGCCAGAGUGACAGCAUCAGACACUAAAAUUACAUUUGUCCACCACCCAGCUACAGUAACAGCAGCAGCAGCGGGGUUGUUUUCAGAACACUCAAAUUUAAGCUACUGAAACAUUGAGGGUGUUUCAGUAUCUGCCAGGACAGAGAAGAAGUAACCUGCAAACCUACAAACUUAAGUAUUAAAAGCUAAAUAUUAAAGGCUUUCUGGAUAGGAAGUUAAGACCAUAAUUUCCAGCAAUUUUAUUUUCUUCACCUUCCCUAAUAAAAGGUUCCUUUCUGUAUAACCUGGUCAGAAAGAUACUUUAUUCCAGACAAAGCUUGUGAGCUAGACUAGGCUGCAGUCAGCCAAUCUUUUCAUGGCUUGAAAAUUGUAAGUGCACCCAGAAAAAACAAGGUAACAGAAUGAGCUGCUUUUCCUCAGAUCUCUCCUGACACCAUCAGAUUUACCCAAAGCAGAUCAACUCCAGCACAUUUCAGUGAACAGAGCUUGUGAAGUCCCAUGCAUUGCUCACACAUGUGGGAACAUCUGGAUUGUUUGUCAGCAAGCCCACUGAGCUGGGAGCCUACCUGGACAUCAGCAGUGCUAAGAAAGCUUGUGGGAAGAAAGGUGUCUUCCUGAAAUGGAUGAACAAUGGUUAAACAGACACAGAAGAGAAUUAGUAAAGGAAAGAGGCAAUGACACUCUCAAGCAGGAGAAACUAGCAUCAGACCUAAUAGCCCUGCUCCCUCCUGUUUAGUUACUCUUUCCUGCUUGAUCCAAGCACCAGACCAAAAUGGUUCUCUCUACCUUGAGACCCAGCUUUUGAAGGCUGGGAAAAUAAAGGUGGAACAAAUAAGUGAACAGACAAUGAAUUCCUGUUAUGCCUUGUGCAUUUCCCUAGGAAAGGGAGGUCAAAUAAGAAGGUACCAAUGUACAAUAAGCUUGGUGUACUAGAAGAGGGAGCACAGGGGUCCUGGGGACGCUAUCAGCAUCCAAAAUAAAUUUACAUGUAAUUUUGACUGGUUAAUUAUUUAUGGAAAGUCCUGUUUGCACUUUUAAAUUUUGGUUUUGAAUUAAUUUCCUCCUUUCUCGCUUCACGAGUAAUUUUGUCAUGUAAAUACAAAAUGCAAUGAGAAAGUACCUGUAAGCACAAAUUAGAUUAUGUAAAACUAAAUUACACACUCCAAGUCUUCAGUAAACCUUAAGCAUUUUUGUAUUACAGUUAUGCCAGUCUAAAGCUGCCAAAAGGGGAGGUGCCUACCUCCCUCCCAUCCCUUUUGUUAGAUCAGCCUGUACAGCUGCAGGAUGAGUUGCUUCAGCUGGCUGCUGAUGUAAAGUAAUUUCUUUCAGGGUUAGGAUACAGUUCCAUUAAAGUUGACAUUAAAAUAUUUAGUGCUGCUGCAGUUAUGUCCAUCUCCAAAACCUGCCUCCUGUGUUUUGUCAACUGUGCUGUUUGUCUGACUCUGCAGGGAGCAAGUUCAAGCCACUAAAUCUUUGGGAAACUAUCCAAAGAAUUUGGGGGUAGAGGGGGUGGGGAGAGGAUCAGGGAAUAAUACUCUGCUGGCUCAAUGGCCACAGCUAGGUCAUUAAGAAUUUGGAUGAAAGCCUGUCCCAGUACAAAGAAGUAACAGCCAUGCAUAGCAAGACUCAGGAUCAAGGCAGCCCCAGCAGAGCCUACACUGCCAUCGACCAUCACUCCUGCAUCAUCCAGUGAACUGACAGCCUCUGUGCCUGUGCAAUUAACUGCUAAGGCUGCAAAAGAAAUGGCCCCUGCCUUUGUUUGGAGUCAAGUGGGAUGGGAUCAUCCCCUUUCAAUGCAUAUGGAUAUUGGAUUGGAUACUGUGGGGGAAAAAUUGUUACAUCAAUAGAUCAAGAAAGUAUCUGCCUUUUUUAAAAAAUCUUUUGAAUCAGAGAUUUUGUGUGUUUUAUUGAGAGAAAGAGUAUGGAAAAGUAACAUUAAACAGCUCAUAGUUGGAAAAAAAACAGUGGCCUUAAGAGUUUUUCUUAAUGAGGUCUUAUUCAUUUAUUCAACUGGAAUAAUUUGGUAAUUAUUCAAUUAUGAUUUAUUAACCCUUAUCUGGCAAAGGAGUUAAAUUCCAUAAAUAACUCCAAAAAACCAAAACCCAGCAGUGAAUCAAAAGAUAUAUUAAACUGAACUAAAACAAUCCCGAGACAGCUGGAUCAUGAAAAAUUGUUCAACUCAGAGAACAUUUAAAGGUUAGAGCUCUAUUACAGGUAAAAGAAAGAAGAUCAUAGAGAGAGAAAAAAAGAUUAAUAUAGUGAGUACCUGGUGCUUCUUUUAUUCAUUUCAUUUUUACUGUAAGGCCACCAUUUUGCAGAUGGUCUGAAGUAUCACAUUCCUUACCACCUCAAAAGGUUCUAUAUCAAUUAUUCUAACUAUGGCUGUAAAAGAACAGCCUACAGACAGCUGCUGGAAAUAAAAGACAUGAUAGAAAAAGUUUCCUAGUAUCUUUCUUCAUGAAGAUUUUUAAAUAAAGAAUUCAAUUGUAACAUGGCAUAAACCUUGGCAGGUUCAUAGUCUUGCAUGCUACAAAUGGAAGCCAGAUUCAAAGAUCCCACUGCAAGCACAGAGAACAUUGGCCACAGAGCUACUACUAGUUAAAUUUUUGGUUUAACUUCAUUUUAGGAGAAAAGAUAAUGAUUAAAAUUUCUGGCAAUUGGAAAUCUCAUAAAACCACAGAGAUGGUUUCAGUGGUUAAUUAUUCUGGAUGCUAAAAAGCCACUGAAUGUAAAAUGUUCAUGCUAAAAUUUACAUGAAUGAUUUCUACAUCAUUUAGUCACUUAUCUGCCAGAAAAAAAGUCAGCCUUGUAAAAUUAUAAAUAGUCAGUAUUUAUACAGCAUAGGGAACAGCACUGUCUUACUUCAUUUCUUUAAAAGUUUGCCUGUGUUAAACAACUGUAUAGAAGUCAGCAUUAACAACUGCAAGAGCCUUUGAGACAGCUCUUUUAAUAUUCUUAAUGGAACUUUACUAUAAAUUGGCAUCAAUGUUUGCAGUCUUAACUCAUCUGCUUUAUGUCUACCUAUUGUUAUACUACAUAUUUUUGCACUCCUGAAUGAAGUUAUCUGUCUAGAGCACUUGAAAACAUCCAGUACUAAUAGCUGCAAUUUAGUAUUUCCAUGGAAAAAGUAAAUAUUUUAUCAUAUGAUCUAACAGCCUCUUUUCCACCUUUUCCUCCAUCUAACUACAUAAGAUAAAUAUUUAUUGAAAACCUCAGCAUUUUCUGCCUUACUCUGGAGAAUUCUUUUCGUUUUGUCUAGAUUUGGUUAGCAUUAUUGGGAUUCAUUCAAUUUCUUUUUAACAGCUACAAGAAGCCAAACAGCUGCCCCAUUAAAGGAAAGAGAAAAAAGGAAAAAAAAGCCACCAAACUUUGUGGCCAUGGCUUUCUCCCUAAUUUUUCCUUCUGCUUUUUCAGUGUUCUGAAUUUCUUAGCUGAUACAUACUAAUUAUAAUCAAAUUAUGCUUUCCUUCAGCUGUUUUUCAAUAUACAUCCUCUCAAACUGAUUUAUUUAACGGGGCUUUUUGUUUCCUCUCUAAGGCAGUUUUCAACACAAACUUGAAAGAAUCAUUUCACUUUUGGAUUUGAUAUUAUUUUGAGCUUGUAAUGUGUGCUUUUAAUUUACCAAGAGAGAUUUUACAUUACAGUUUUUCAUACAGAGAAUAUUUCCCUGUUUUCAUUUUUGUCUAUGUAGGAGUCAUAAAUUAAUCUGUUCACUUAUCUAAGACAACACUAACUGUGAUUUUUUUUCUAGCCAUCAAUAUACAUUUAAUAAAUAAUUUAGUGCACCAAUAUUGUAGAUAUCUAUGACUUUUCUAAUGUCUGAAUCAUUUUAGUACUGUCAGCAUAAGCCAUACAGAACAUUUAGUCUCCAUGAUAAGAGGUAUUUUUUCUUCCUAUUGGAUAUUGGAUAUUAUAGGCAGUUCUUAGAGAGUCAUAUUGUCCCUUGGUGUUUUAUGUCAUAGAUACUUGAUCAAGUUCAACACUGAGCACAAUUUCAGAACCAACCCCAAAUAUUUCAAUUAAUGCUAACAUGUUCCAUUACGUAGUGACAAAAAGGUGGAAAAACCCAGCUUGGCCAUACAAAGCACUCUUUCAAUGGAAACAUUUUAUAUAAAUUGGCAAACUGAAGUAAAAAUGACAAGAAGAAAAUGAAGUUUGUUUAGUGAAUCAGUAAUUUAAACCAAUAUCAUAAAUAAGUUGUCAUGCACCUUACUACAAAUAUUGGCACUCUGCACUGUGUGUUACUUGACAUAUUUUAUAAUCAGAUUGUAGUUCCCUGUAAGACACACACAAACUAUGAAGUAUAGAUAUUGUUGUAAUAAUGUUCCUACUAAAAUGCUAUUUGUAUUCUUAGCAUAUUCAUUUUUCUUCUUAAUAGUUUAUUGCCUUUUUUUCUUCUACCUUUAUUUGAUGUUACUGAAGUGUUUUUAUUUAUAGACAUUCCUAUUUGCAAUUUUGGAAAUGUUUAUAAUUUGUCUUUUAUGUAUACUGUAGGCAAAUUAUAUUUGUGAUUUCUGUUGUAAGUACAUUACUUUCUAUACCCUAUACUCAAAAAGUUAUAGCCUUAAAAUAAAUUUUCCCUUAAUCUUCAGACACAUCUGAAUGUUAUUAGGU